ensembl:lncRNA
CUCCAGAACCACUUUUCAGAUCAGAAAACCCUUCUGAGUGAGGAUAUUGUUAUACAUCUUUCUAUAAACAACGUGAAAACUGUUUAAACCGAACUCAUCCUUUAACCCUGAGGUUGGCUCUAGAAGAGGAAACCCAGAUUCCCAGUCCAGACCGGGUCCAGGAGCUCUAACCUCGCCAUAAUACUGCAGAAUAUAAAAUAAAAGAGAUUAACUGAGAGCCUGCCUUCCGUUCCACCUCUUCCUUCCAUUCAGACAUGAGUCUGGAGUCCCGGAGAGGACAGGAACUCACCGUCCUUCUUCACCCAGCCCGCCGCCGUGUUCUCCAUCACCACCAUCUGGCAGAACUUGUCCCCGAUGAAGCUGAGGAUGUACUUGGCCGUGGCCCGGUCCAGGUGGCCGUCCUCCACGGCUCCGGGCUCCCACAGGGACAGCGCCUCCUCGUCAAACUGGUCCGGAGACGAGAAGCCGUCCAUCCGAAUGACCCCGUUCUUACUGUAGGACAGCCUCUUGGCGUGGUAGAAGCGGCCCGGCGGCGGCUCUCUGUGGACGAUGGCGCCGGGUUUGGUAGCGCCGGCCGGACCGUCGUACUUCACCGACGUCGACGGACGCACGAUGACGGAGGCCAUGGCGGCCUGGGGUUUGGCCCUGGGGCCCCCCCUGUCGCCGCCGUACGGCCCCCCUCGGUCCGGCGGCAUCUCGGCGCCUCUCCAGCCGUCUGUGGGCGGAGCCCUGCCCUCCCCGCUGAUGACGGAGGCCACGGAGGUGAUGGCGGUCGUGCUCCCGUGACCUUUGACGUCCCUGAGUUCCGGCAGCAGCGUGGGGGGCUUCUGCUGCUCCGCCGACGUUUUGCAACCGGCCGCCGCCAGGCUGACGGGCUGGAUGGGCGUCAGGGUGGGCGGGGACAGGCGCCCCCCGUACCCCGCCCGCUCCCGCUCCUUCUCCCGCUCCGCCGCCUCCCGGCGCUCCAGGGCGUGCUGCGUGGGCGGGUGGAAGACGGGCGCCCGGUGGAGGGACGGCAUGGCCCGGAGCUGCUGCGCCUGCUGCUGGGGGUGGGGGUGGGGGUGGGGGUGGGCGUUGGAGACUGAAGCUGACGAGGACGUGGUGCAGGAGGGGGACAUGGCGGGGCUGCGGCGGUCCGCCCGGUCCAGGUGGCUCUGCGGCUGGACCAGCGCCCCCUGCUGGCUCAGCUGCUCGGUGAUCUUGCCGGCCAGACCCUCGCCCCCCUCGGGCUGGUGCUUGAUGAGAGGGGGGGGCUUGGAGAGGGAGCCUUUGGGGGUGUAGCUGCCCAGGGCCAUGCCCCCCUGGCAGGGCGCCGCGGCCCCCACGCUGGCCACCACCCCCUGCGCCCCCACCUUGUCGUAGUAGGAGCCCAGGUCCUUGGAGGGGUACAGCCGGGGGGGCUCGUUGACCACGCUGUUGGACAGGGUGGUGAAGUAGUUGCUCUUCUCCGACUGGAUGACGUGGGGGUGCACGUGGCUGGGUUUGGGGCUGGGGGAGGCCAGAGCGGGAACCCGGACCGGGAAGGCCGGAUCCCUGCCCCGGUCCCGGUCCCGGUCCCGCUCCGCGGCGGGAUCGGCAGAGCGCUGGAUCUUAGCGGUGAACGGAGCCACCUCGAUGCUCUCCUUCAGGAUCUGGCGGUUCUCCUCCUUGUACUUGCUGGUUCGGUCCGCCGCCUGAACCGAGUCCUGAAAGGAGAACCGCGUCAGGACCAAAGACCACCCGCCAGACCUCGGAGCGACGUGAGGAGGCCCAGAGGCAGCACACGGGUUUCCUCUGUUGCCAUGGUUACGGGUUGUGUACCUGUGCGUUGGGGAGGCGGGACUUGCUGUGGGGGUCCAGGUACAGGCGGUGCAGGUGGUGGUCUUUCCCCGUCGGGGUCCGACUCCUGUCCGUCUGCUCCUGCUUCAGGUGAGCCAGAGUCAGGGUCCUGAUGGGGUCCGCGAAGGACUUCUUAUCCACCUCGCUGCACGCACACGCACACGCACACGCACACGCACACGCACACGCGCACACACACACACACACACACACACACAUCAGUAAAAUAGCUUGUCAGUGUCAGAAAGAACAAGAAGAAAACUCUACAAAACCUAAAAUGUCAAAAUUUACGGAAAACAAAAACUGUUUCAGAAUCGUCCUGUUUUUGACGCCUCCUGUUGCAAAUUCCAGUGAAAUGUUCAAAAACCAUUGCAAAGAGAAAUGAAACCCAGCAUUUAAUCAGUUCUUCUUUGUCUGAUGUGCAGACAGAGGGGAAGUCCUGAGUGGGACCGUGCUUCUCUUCAGGUUCAUGUCGCUUCACAGACAACGCUUCAAAUGAAAACAGGUUGCGCAUCACACGUUUUCCUUCCACAACAGCUCCCUGCACGGAUUUCUCUUCUCGUGGACACAGCAGGAACUGUGAAGGGUGCCGUUGGCACGUUAACCGGAAGCCCUGAUUCAGAGCUACUUCAGAUAUUGACCUCUUUUUUUGCAGACAUUCAGUAACAACAGCAAGGGCUGCUGUACGGUGUGUGUGUGUGUGUGUGUGUGUGUGUGUGUGUGUGUGUGUGUGUGUGUGUGUGUGUGUGUGCAGGUGUACUUAGAGAAGCAGACUGGAAUGAACUUGACAGAAGUGGGUUAAUGAGAGAGAUUACCUCCAGCGAGGAUCAACAAUGGCUGCUGCUUACAUAACAGCUGUACGGACGGACCGCUGAGCGAGCUCUGCUGGACCAGACCCUGCACAACCCGGCUGCCCCGAGGGAUC